rnacentral:rRNA from 1 species
UACGAAGGGGGCUAGCGUUGCUCGGAAUUACUGGGCGUAAAGCGUGCGCAGGCGGUUUGUUAAGACAGAUGUGAAAUCCCCGGGCUUAACCUGGGAACUGCAUUUGUGACUGGCAAGCUAGAGUAUGGCAGAGGGGGGUAGAAUUCCACGUGUAGCAGUGAAAUGCGUAGAGAUGUGGAGGAAUACCGAUGGCGAAGGCAGCCCCCUGGGCCAAUACUGACGCUCAUGCACGAAAGCGUGGGGAGCAAACAGG